GGUAACUUCCCCAACUACUCCCGCUUCCACCCACCCGAGGGCCGCGUCAGCCUCCUGCCCGGCGGCCUCUUGCGGCGGCUCUUCCCCGCGGCAGCUCGCCCGCUGCUGGGCAUCGACGUGGGCUGCAAUUCGGGGCUUGCUGCUUCUGCUCUGCAGGAAGCUGUCACAAGAUGAGACAGGUGGGACCCAGCUCCAUGACACAGCAGCAGAAGAAAGGCUGUGGAUCUCAGCUGCAGAACUUAUGUGUUUGUGUGCAUCUCUCCCACUGUUCAAGCACAAAGAAGCCCAGCUCACCUGCUUUCCUCCCCUUCCACGAGCUUCCUGUAAGUGAGGAUCUCCAAGUCCAGGGCCAGCUUGAUGUUCAUUAGCUCCUGGUACUCCUUCACCAGAAGCUUGCACAUGUGCCAAGGCUGCUCUCUCAAUUGCGUUUUUACCUGUUCAUAGACGGCUUUCUUCAAAUUCAUCAGCUCCUGAAGCCCAUUGAGUUUUACCUCCAGCUCAGUUCUGUGCAAGGUAUCCUCAGCAGUUAAUUUUCAGAAUCUGAGAGGCUUCUCGAGGGAGAAAGCUUUGCUUGUGUAAAAUCAGAGAAAACUGGACUGGCAUCAGAACUUAUCUUAAGUGUAAGCAUGAUUAGUGAAGAAACAGAAGACCUGGCAAAGCAAUUUUUGGAAAACAGUGCCCACAGACCAGAAGGGCCAGGCAGCGUGGUUAACAAGAUUUACCUGUCUGUUUUUUCUGCUCUUCAGCUGGAAUGUUAGCCAUGCUGCCAGCAACUAUGUACUGAGCUUAAUUACAGCCUGCCACUCUUCCUUCAUCCUCAUGGCAUCUCAGCCCAAUCCCAGUCUGUCCCAGCCUGCUGAAGCAGCUUUGCACAUUGCCAGGCGCUGACAUAAUCCUGCGUGUGGAACAAACAACGCUCCUGACUGAAAGGGAGCAGGCCAAGCAAGCCAAACAUGCUCACCACACGGCUCCGGAGGGACGUGGCGGCCGGGAGGUGACUCAUAAGGGGAUGGAGCCUUCCACAAACACAUUACAGCAUUUAUCUCCUUUAAGGCACUGGACCUGCCGAAGAAAUUUCAGAGACUUCAGCAACACCAACAGCUGAUAGCAAAGCUGACCGAGUGCCUCUGGUCUGGAGACCUCUGGAGUAGCUGCUGGACCUAGCUGAGAUCUCCAGAGCACCAGGGCUUUGCAGAAACCUGCCUCGGCUGGAUGAGUUGUUUUCCUUUGAGAAAAUCUUCUGCCUUCUCAUGGAUCUUAAGAGAUGAAAGCGACACUUUCUUGGCUGAGUGUGCAACCCCUCACGGUAAAAACCACAGAGGAGGGAGGUGUUGGGGGGGGGGGUCUCCCUUGCCCACUGUGCACCUACGGGGAUGAAUUUCCAGCUGUCUUUCAGCAGCCAGAGAAGAAUUUGAGCAGCCACCUUAGUCAGCGUCACUGCUUGCGGCUGUCUGUCCACUAUGGGAGCCAAGGCCUGCUCCGUCCGGCGCCGUGCCUCCGCUGCCCUGCCUGUGCUCAGGGAGGGCCAGGUCCCCGAUGGUGGAGCUGCGCGGCCUCCCCAGGGGCCCAGGGGGGUGACAGGCACAGCAAAGGAGAUACACAGGCUGCCCGAUGCUGCUGACCACAGAUGUGGGCCAGCUUUACCUAGAGAUGAUGCUAGCCCUUGUUAAAAGAGAUAGCACCGAAGAAAUAACUAAUUGGGUAAUUAGCCUGAUAUUCAGAGCCUGGCAGUGGCUAGCUGAAGGCCUCCAGAAGUCCCCUGCCAGACUGGUUAGUGUUUGCUUCCCCACCACCAUCCUCAUCCCCACACCGCACCGUGGUCCUCAGCAGCUCACCUUACC